rnacentral:rRNA from 1 species
CGGAUUCUGGCUCAGAUUGAACGCUGGCGGCGUGCUUAACACAUGCAAGUCGAACGCGAAAGGGGCUUCGGCCCCGAGUAGAGUGGCGCACGGGUGAGUAACGCGUGGAUAAUCUGCCCCUGCAACUGGAAUAGCGACUGGAAACGGUCGAUAAUACCGGAUACGCCCUUGUUGUACAAUGAGGGGAAAGGAGACCUCUGCUUGCAAGUUUCCGUGCAGGGAUGAGUCCGCGUCCCAUUAGCUUGUUGGCGGGUAACGGCCCACCAAGGCGACGAUGGGUAGCCGAUUUGAGAGGAUGAUCGGCCACAUUGGAACUGAAACACGGUCCAAACUCCUACGGGAGGCAGCAGUGGGGAAUAUUGCGCAAUGGGCGAAAGCCUGACGCAGCGACGCCGCGUGAGGGAUGAAGGUUCCUUCGGAUCGUAAACCUCUGUCAGAAGGGAAAAAGGUGCAGGGUGCCAAUCAGCCCUGCAUUGAUGGUACCUUCAGAGGAAGCACCGGCUAACUCCGUGCCAGCCGCCGC